rnacentral:rRNA from 1 species
AGCGAACGCUGGCGGCAGGCCUAACACAUGCAAGUCGAGCGCCCCGCAAGGGGAGCGGCAGACGGGAGAGUAACACGUGGGAACGUACCCUUCAGUUCGGAACAACCAAGGGAAACUUUGGCUAAUACCGAAUACGUCCGUAAGGAGAAAGAUUUAUCGCUGAAGGAUCGGCCCGCGUCUGAUUAGCUAGUUGGUGGGGUAAUGGCCCACCAAGGCGACGAUCAGUAGCUGGUCUGAGAGGAUGAUCAGCCUCACUGGGACUGAGACACGGCCCAGACUCCUACGGGAGGCAGCAGGUGGGGAAUAUUGGACAAUGGGCGCAAGCCUGAUCCAGCCAUGCCGCGUGGAUGAUGAAGGCCC